rnacentral:tRNA from 1 species
GGAGAGUUAUCGAAGCGGUCAUAACGAGGCGGUCUUGAAAACCGUUUGGGGAUCAAACCCCACGUGAGUUCGAAUCUCACACUCUCCGCCA